CACGUAGGGCGCAAGCGUUGUCCGGAAUUAUCGGGCGUAAAGAGCUCGUAGGCGGUCCGUCACGUCCGCUGUGAAAACCCAGGGCUCAACCCUGGGCUUGCAGUGGAUACGGGCAGACUAGAGGUAGGUAGGGGAGAAUGGAAUUCCCGGUGUAGCGGUGAAAUGCGCAGAUAUCGGGAGGAACACCGGUGGCGAAGGCGGUUCUCUGGGCAUUACCUGACGCUGAGGAGCGAAAGUGUGGGGAGCGAACAGG
rnacentral:rRNA from 1 species